rnacentral:rRNA from 1 species
GGCUCAGGACGAACGCUGGCGGCGUGCCUAAUACAUGCAAGUCGAGCGAGCUUGCCUAGAUGAAUUUGGUGCUUGCACCAGAUGAAACUAGAUACAAGCGACCGGCGAACGGGUGAGUAACACGUGGGUAACCUGCCCAAGAGACUGGAAUAACACUUGGAACCAGAUGUUAAUACCGGAUAACAACACUAUACGCAUGUCUAGAGUUUAAAAGAUGGUUCUGCUAUCACUCUUGGAUGGACCUGCGGUGCAUUAGCUAGUUGGUAAGGUAACGGCUUACCAAGGCAAUGAUGCAUAGCCGAGUUGAGAGACUGAUCGGCCACAUUGGGACUGAGACACGGCCCAAACUCCUACGGGAGGCAGCAGUAGGGAAUCUUCCACAAUGGACGCAAGUCUGAUGGAGCAACGCCGCGUGAGUGAAGAAGGGUUUCGGCUCGUAAAGCUCUGUUGGUAGUGAAGAAAGAUAGAGGUAGUAACUGGCCUUUAUUUGACGGUAAUUACNNAGAAAGUCACGGCUAACUACGUGCCAGCAGCCGCGGUAAUACGUAGGUGGCAAGCGUUGUCCGGAUUUAUUGGGCGUAAAGCGAGNGCAGGCGGUUCAAUAAGUCUGAUGUGAAAGCCUUCGGCUCAACCGAAGAAGUGCAUCAGAAACUGUUGAA